GACGAACGCUGGCGGCGUGCUUAACACAUGCAAGUCGAACGGAAAGGCCCUGCUUUUGUGGGGUGCUCGAGUGGCGAACGGGUGAGUAACACGUGAGUAACCUGCCCUUGACUUUGGGAUAACUUCAGGAAACUGGGGCUAAUACCGGAUAGGAGCUCCUGCUGCAUGGUGGGGGUUGGAAAGUUUCGGCGGUUGGGGAUGGACUCGCGGCUUAUCAGCUUGUUGGUGGGGUAGUGGCUUACCAAGGCUUUGACGGGUAGCCGGCCUGAGAGGGUGACCGGCCAAAUUGGGACGGGGAUACGGCCCAGACUCCAACGGGGGGCAGAAGUGGGGAAUAUUGCACAAGGGGGGGAAGCCUGAUGCAGCAACGCCGGGGGGGGGAGGACGGCCUUGGGGUUGUAAACCGCUUUCGCCGGGGACGAAGGGGGAGUGACGGUAAUGGGUAAAGAAGCACCGGCUAACUACGG
rnacentral:rRNA from 1 species